rnacentral:lncRNA from 1 species
AUGAGACUAAAAUGAAGCUGAAACUAGGGAGAAUGACACAGCAUGACAUGAUAAGCUUCAAAAUUUGCUCGAACUAUUGAUACACCAAAUCAAUAAAGUAUAAUGAAUACAGAUGUAGGAUGAUAGCUAUGAAAGAGUACUUCUAUAUACAAAAAAGUUGAAAAAGAAAUCAAUCAUAGAAGCUUGAUAUGAGAUGAUGUAUGGUAUGAUGAGCCAAAAAGAACCACCAAGUUACAUGUAGAAAAGGUUGGUAU